CCAUACCGAAAACUCUUUUCAAACUUCUGUUGCUUUUCAACUUUUAAUGCCAGCUUGCUCACAUCAUUUAAACACCAAUAUGGCUGUAGCUGAACAACUUUAGCAAUCUCAUACUUCAGACCUCCUAAGUAUCUUGCAAUUGUUUGCUCUUCCGGUUCCACAAGCUCUCCUUUUAACAUCAAAUUAUCAAAUUCUGCAGUGUACUCCUCCACACUAAGAUCUUUUUGCUUGAAAUCAUGUAUUUUGA
rnacentral:lncRNA from 1 species